ACUGGCGGCGUGCCUAACACAUGCAAGUCGAACGGAGAUAAGUGCUGAUGAAGCUUCGGCAGAGUCAUAUUUAAUCUUAGUGGCGGACGGGUGAGUAACGCGUGGGCAACCUGCCUCAUACUGGGGGAUAGCAGUUGGAAACGACUGAUAAUACCGCAUAAGCGCACAGCAUCGCAUGAUGCAGUGUGAAAAACUCCGGUGGUAUGAGAUGGGCCCGCGUCAGAUUAGCCAGUUGGCAGGGUAACGGCCUACCAAAGCGACGAUCUGUAGCCGGCCUGAGAGGGCGGACGGCCACAUUGGGACUGAGACACGGCCCAAACUCCUACGGGAGGCAGCAGUGGGGGAUAUUGCACAAUGGAGGAAACUCUGAUGCAGCGACGCCCGCGUGAGUGAAGAAGUAUUUCGGUAUGUAAAGCUCUAUCAGCAGGGAAGAAAGGCCCGAAAGGGAGAUGACGGUACCUGACUAAGAAGCCCCGGCUAACUACGUGCCAGCAGCCGC
rnacentral:rRNA from 1 species